rnacentral:tmRNA from 1 species
UCACUUCACAUUAAGGCAGCAAUGCCUAUAUGGAGCCUGCCGGUUUCGGCCGGCUAUGGCGAUAAAAUGCGGUGUGCAAUAGGCACAGCGGACCCGGGGGCAGUACCCGGCGGCUCCACCAGAAAUCGCGGUUUUCCGUGGUUCCUGACGGGGCCGAACCAGGAUCGACGUGUGUUGAAAAGCACUGUUUUCGCCCGGGCUGAGUAACCCGUAAAACUGUUCACAACACACAAGUGCCAACGAUAACGAAGCACUCGCAAUCGCUGCGUAAUCUGACGUCCUAACGGACUGAUCUUACAAAGCUAAAGCGCGGUUGGACCCACCGGGCAACAGAAGCGGAUUCCG